rnacentral:rRNA from 1 species
GGAGGGUGCAAGCGUUAAUCGGAAUUACUGGGCGUAAAGCGCGCGUAGGCGGAUGAUUAAGUCGGAUGUGAAAGCCCAGGGCUCAACCUUGGAACUGCAUCCGAUACUGGUUAUCUAGAGUACGGUAGAGGGGGGUAGAAUUUCUUGUGUAGCAGUGAAAUGCGUAGAUAUAAGAAGGAAUACCAGUGGCGAAGGCGGCCCCCUGGAUCGAUACUGACGCUGAGGUGCGAAAGCGUGGGGAGCAAACGGGAUUAGAUACCCCGGUAGUCCACGCCGUAAACGAUGUCUACUAGCCGUUGGGGGACUUGAUCCCUUAGUGGCGCAGCUAACGCAAUAGGUAGACCGCCUGGGGAGUACGGUCGCAAGAUUAAAACUCAAAUGAAUUGACGGGGGCCCGCACAAGCGGUGGAGCAUGUGGUUUAAUUCGAUGCAACGCGAAGAACCUUACCAGGUCUUGACAUCCUGAGAAUCCUGUAGAGAUACGGGAGUGCCUUCGGGAAUUCAGUGACAGGUGCUGCAUGGCUGUCGUCAGCUCGUGUCGUGAGAUGUUGGGUUAAGUCCCGUAACGAGCGCAACCCUUGUCCUUAGUUGCUAGCAGGUAAUGCUGAGAACUCUAAGGAGACUGCCGGUGACAAACCGGAGGAAGGUGGGGACGACGUCAAGUCAUCAUGGCCCUUACGACCUGGGCUACACACGUGCUACAAUGGCCGGUACAAAGGGUUGCCAAGCCGCGAGGUGGAGCCAAUCCCAUAAAACCGGUCGUAGUCCGGAUCGGAGUCUGCAACUCGACUCCGUGAAGUCGGAAUCGCUAGUAAUCGUGAAUCAGAAUGUCACGGUGAAUACGUUCCCGGGCCUU